rnacentral:rRNA from 1 species
AUUGAACGCUGGCGGCAGGCCUAACACAUGCAAGUCGAGCGGUAGCACAGAGAGCUUGCUCUCGGGUGACGAGCGGCGGACGGGUGAGUAAUGUCUGGGAAACUGCCUGAUGGAGGGGGAUAACUACUGGAAACGGUAGCUAAUACCGCAUAACGUCGCAAGACCAAAGAGGGGGACCUUCGGGCCUCUUGCCAUCAGAGGUGCCCAGAUGGGAUUAGCUAGUAGGUGGGGUAACGGCUCACCUAGGCGACGAUCCCUAGCUGGUCUGAGAGGAUGACCAGCCACACUGGAACUGAGACACGGUCCAGACUCCUACGGGAGGCAGCAGUGGGGAAUAUUGCACAAUGGGCGCAAGCCUGAUGCAGCCAUGCCGCGUGUAUGAAGAAGGCCUUCGGGUCGUAAAGUACUUUCAGCGGGGAGGAAGGCGAUGUGGUUAAUAACCGCAUUGAUUGACGUUACCCGCAGAAGAAGCACCGGCUAACUCCGUGCCAGCCGCCGCGGUAA